UUAAUACCGUCUCUAGUGAAUGUCGCUUC
rnacentral:piRNA from 1 species